rnacentral:lncRNA from 1 species
UUAAUGUUGGGACUAGACAAUAGAUAUUACAUUCUGAUUGGUUAAUGUUGGGACUAGACAAUAGAUAUUACAUUCUGAUUGGUUAAUGUUGGGACUAGACAAUAGAUAUUACAUUCUGAUUGGUUAAUGUUGGGACUAGACAAUAGAUAUUACAUUCUGACUGGUUAAUGUUGGGACUCCCUCCAGGUAUUGUCCCUCCAGGUAUUGUCCCUCCAGGUAUUAACCCUCCAGGUAUAUCCUCGGGAUAUCCCCAGGUAUUCCCUCCAGGUAUUUACCUCCAGGUAAUAUCCCUCCAGGUAUUUCCUCCAGUAUUUCCCCUCCAGGUAUUGAAUGGUUCUCCUAUCGAUCAGGUUCUUGCCUAUAAAUAUCUGGGCAUUUGGAUGACACGGAUUUAACAUUUAACCCAUGAGGCGGCGCACAAUUGGCCCCAGCGUCUUCUGGUUAGGGGAGGUUUGGCCCGCGUCGUCCGGGUUAGGGGAGGGGU